rnacentral:rRNA from 1 species
ACAACAGGGAUUGCCCUAGUAACGGCGAGUGAAGCGGCAACAGCUCAAAUUUGAAAUCUGGCUCUUUCAGAGUCCGAGUUGUAAUUUGCAGAGGGCGCUUUGGCUUUGGCAGCGGUCCAAGUUCCUUGGAACAGGACGUCACAGAGGGUGAGAAUCCCGUACGUGGUCGCUAGCUAUUGCCGUGUAAAGCCCCUUCGACGAGUCGAGUUGUUUGGGAAUGCAGCUCUAAAUGGGAGGUAAAUUUCUUCUAAAGCUAAAUAUUGGCCAGAGACCGAUAGCGCACAAGUAGAGUGAUCGAAAGAUGAAAAGCACUUUGGAAAGAGAGUCAAACAGCACGUGAAAUUGUUGAAAGGGAAGCGCUUGCAGCCAGACUUGCUUGCAGUUGCUCAUCCGGGCUUUUGCCCGGUGCACUCUUCUGCAGGCAGGCCAGCAUCAGUUUGGGCGGUGGGAUAAAGGUCUCUGACACGUUCCUUCCUUCGGGUUGGCCAUAUAGGGGAGACGUCAUACCACCAGCCUGGACUGAGGUCCGCGCAUCUGCUAGGAUGCUGGCGUAAUGGCUGUAAGCGGCCCGUCUUGAAACACGGACCAAGGAGUCUAACAUCUAUGCGAGUGUUUGGGUGUCAAGCCCGAGCGCGUAAUGAAAGUGAACGGAGGUGGGAACCCGCAAGGGCGCACCAUCGACCGAUCCUGAAGUUUACGGAAGGAUUUGAGUAAGAGCAUGGCUGUUGGGACCCGAAAGAUGGUGAACUAUGCUUGAAUAGGGUGAAGCCAGAGGAAACUCUGGUGGAGGCUCGCAGCGGUUCUGACGUGCAAAUCGAUCGUCAAAUUUGGGCAUAGGGGCGAAAGACUAAUCGAACUAUCUAGUAGCUGGUUCCUGC